GAGAGAUGAGUGUUCUCAGAUGAAAACACUGAGGUCCAAGGCCACACAGUCCAGCCUCCCCGGUCCGCAGCUCCUGUGGCUCUAAGGAAAGAGAAGCCUCCACACUUGGCACCUGUGGGAACCCAACCCUGGCUGCCCACCCCAGCAGGUGAGUGCCACACAGUUCAGUCCCUGGCUUCCACUCC
rnacentral:lncRNA from 13 species